rnacentral:rRNA from 1 species
ACGGGAGGCAGCAGUGGGGAAUAUUGGACAAUGGGGGAAACCCUGAUCCAGCGACGCCGCGUGAGUGAAGAAGUAUUUCGGUAUGUAAAGCUCUAUCAGCAAGGAAGAAAAUGACGGUACUUGACUAAGAAGCUCCGGCUAAAUACGUGCCAGCAGCCGCGGUAAUACGUAGGGAGCAAGCGUUAUCCGGAUUUACUGGGUGUAAAGGGAGCGUAGACGGCAAAGCAAGUCCGAAGUGAAAUCCCGGGGCUCAACCCCGGAACUGCUUUGGAAACUGUUUAGCUAGAGUGCAGGAGAGGUAAGCGGAAUUCCUAGUGUAGCGGUGAAAUGCGUAGAUAUUAGGAGGAACACCAGUGGCGAAGGCGGCUUACUGGACUGUAACUGACGUUGAGGCUCGAAAGCGUGGGGAGCAAACAGGAUUAGAUACCCUGGUA